rnacentral:rRNA from 1 species
CCUGAGAAACCCGAAAGAUCGAAUGGGGAGAUUCAUCGUCAGCGAUUUUGGUACGUGUGCGGUUCGGGAUGCCGGUGGCUUCGGCCACGCGACACUCGUCUGCAUGUUUAUUAUUGCCUCAAUCGUCGGCGUGCACUUCUCCCCUAGUAGGACGUCGCGACCCGUUGGGUGUCGGUCUACGGCUCGGUUGGUAGCCUGUCUCGUGUGCGUCUCACGGCGUAUCGCGGGGCAGACCUCCGAACGCCCGACCGGCUGCCCGGCGGUACUCGCACGGUAUCUGGCCGCAAAUAUUUGAACUGCGUCCGGCCCGUCGCAAGCGAGGCGAGUGUCCCGGCUGUACGGAUGUAAUGCCGUCACCGGGCCUGGCCAGCUGUUGGUUGACGGUGUCCUGGGACUGGCCAAUAAUAUUAUGAUACCGGUCGGCGACGCUACUGCUUUGGGUACUUUCAGGA